rnacentral:rRNA from 1 species
UAGGGAAUCUUCCACAAUGGGCGCAAGCCUGAUGGAGCAACACCGCGUGAGUGAAGAAGGGUUUCGGCUCGUAAAGCUCUGUUGUUAAAGAAGAACACGUAUGAGAGUAACUGUUCAUACGUUGACGGUAUUUAACCAGAAAGUCACGGCUAACUACGUGCCAGCAGCCGCGGUAAUACGUAGGUGGCAAGCGUUAUCCGGAUUUAUUGGGCGUAAAGAGAGUGCAGGCGGUUUUCUAAGUCUGAUGUGAAAGCCUUCGGCUUAACCGGAGAAGUACAUCGGAAACUGGAUAACUUGAGUGCAGAAGAGGGUAGUGGAACUCCAUGUGUAGCGGUGGAAUGCGUAGAUAUAUGGAAGAACACCAGUGGCGAAGGCGGCUACCUGGUCUGCAACUGACGCUGAGACUCGAAAGCAUGGGUAGCGAACAGGAUUAGAUACCCUGGUAGUCCAUGCCGUAACGAUGAGUGCUAGGUGUUGGAGGGUUUCCGCCCUUCAGUGCCGGAGCUAACGCAUUAAGCACUCCGCCUGGGGAGUACGACCGCAAGGUUG